GACAUAGGUGGCAAGCGUUAUUCGGAAUCACUAGGCGUAAAGCGAGCGUAGGUGGAUGCUUAAGUUCAUUGUGAAAUUUCCCGGCUCAACUGGGAAGGGUCAAUGGAUACUGGGUGUCUUGAGUGGGGAAGGGGGCAGUGGAAUUCCCGGUGUAGCGGUGAAAUGCGUAGAUAUCGGGAGGAACGCCUAUGGCGAAAGCAGCUGCCUGGGCCCUAACUGACACUGAGGCUCGAAAGCUGGGGGAGCAAACAGG
rnacentral:rRNA from 1 species